rnacentral:rRNA from 1 species
UACAGAGGUGGCGAGCGUUAUUCGGAAUUAUUGGGCGUAAAGGGCGCGUAGGCGGAAUGGCAAGUCGGUCGUGAAAUACUUCGGCUCAACCGAAGAACGUCGAUCGAAACUGCCGUUCUUGAGGAUUGCAGAGGAGACUGGAAUUCCCGGUGUAGCGGUGAAAUGUGUAGAGAUCGGGAGGAACACCGGUGGCGAAGGCGGGUCUCUGGGCAAUUCCUGACGCUGAGGCGCGAAAGCGUGGGGAGCAAACGGG